CCAAAGAUGGGUGCUGGUCUUUGAUCCAUGAUGGGUGCUGCUCACUGGCCAAAGAUGGGUGCUGCUCAUGGCUAAAUACGGGUGCUGGUUGUUAUCCAAGGAUGGGUGCUGGUUGUUACCCAAGGAUGGGUGCUGGUCGUUGGCUGAAGAUGGGUGCUGGUCGUUGGCUGAAGAUGGGUGCUGGUCUUUGAUCCAUGAUGGGUGCUGCUCAUUGGCCAAAGAUGGGUGCUGCUCUUUGAUCCAGGAUGGGUGCUCGUCACCAGCCAAAGAUGGGUGCUGCUCAUGGCUAAAUAGGGGUGCUGCUCGUUACCCAAGGAUGGGUGCUGGUGUUUGGCUGAAGCUGGGUGCUGCUUCGUGGUCCAGUUUGGGUGCUGCUCAGCAGGCAGGGAUGGGUGCCGGUCCUCAACCACAAAUGGGUGCUGCUCACCCCCCAAAAUCCUUCGACUUCUUCCGCAUUCGAUCCCCAAAACCAGGCAGGGGGUGGAAAUUUUGCUUCCAAUUUCUCCUUUAUUUCUAUUUUAUUUGAUUUUUUUUUGCUGUGUUUGUUGUGUUUUUCUUUUUUCAUUUUUGAAUUAUUUUGAUUUUCCCCUUUUUGUUUUUUAAUAUAGAAAUUGAUUUCUUGUUUAUUUUUUUAAUCAUCACACCAAGUUUUUUUUACGAGGCCUUUGAGGGCAGCUUUUGGACUGGAAUGAUUUGGAAGUUCAUGAGGAAUCAUUGAACCUGUUUUGCCCAUGAAAAUGGAAGCCAUGCUCUCUCUUUCCCCAGGGAUGGAAUUGGAAAGGGAAAGGGAAAGGAAAAUGGGGGGGGAGGGGGGGGAAAUAAAGAGGAAAUGGGAAAAAGUGUGGGGAAAAGG
rnacentral:lncRNA from 1 species